rnacentral:lncRNA from 1 species
AAUUCAAAACAGAAGCUGAAAAUUAACAUGAAUCAACUUCAAACAUAUCUUGAAACAAUCCAAAAGGUCUCACAUCAAUAUCAUAUACCAAAAGCAUUUCAUGAUAAGAUGGAGAAAAAAUUCAAAACAGAAGCUGAAAAUUAACAUGAAUCAACUUCAAACAUAUCUUGAAACAAUCCAAAAGGUCUCACAUCAAUAUCAUAUACCAAAAGCAUUUCAUGAUCAAUUG